CAGUAGCCGCGGUAAUACGAAGGGUGCAAGCGUUAAUCGGAAUUACUGGGCGUAAAGCGUGCGCAGGCGGUUAUAUAAGACAGAUGUGAAAUCCCCGGGCUCAACCUGGGAACUGCAUUUGUGACUGUAUAGCUAGAGUACGGCAGAGGGGGAUGGAAUUCCGCGUGUAGCAGUGAAAUGCGUAGAUAUGCGGAGGAACACCGAUGGCGAAGGCAAUCCCCUGGGCCUGUACUGACGCUCAUGCACGAAAGCGUGGGGAGCAAACAGGAUUAGAUACCCCGGUAGUCCCUGUCUCUUAUAC
rnacentral:rRNA from 1 species